rnacentral:sRNA from 2 species
UUAUUUUGGGGGUGGUUGGAGGCGGUGGCGGCGGCGGCGAGGAGGGGAAUUUCCUUGUGCCUCCAUUCCCGGGAGGGGGGAGCGGCGUUGGAGGCCACCGUUUCCAGCAUCAACAACAGCAACUUGUGAUUGGCGGUGACCGGAUAUUCAGUUGCACAUCCCCACAUCAAUGCACUGCCAAUGGGUUAUAUCCUGUGUUGUGACCUCAUGGUUUAAGUGGGAAUAAAGAUGAGUAUAAGCAGUGAUGAGGUCAACUUCUUGGUAUAUAGAUACUUGCAAGAGUCAGGAUGGUACCUUGUUUGAUGGUCGACC